UUUGUGGAGGGUUCGAUUCUGGCUCAGGAUGAACGCUGGCGGCGUGCUUAACACAUGCAAGUCGAACGGGAUCCGGCCGAGCUUGUCUUGGCUGGUGAGAGUGGCGAACGGGUGAGUAAUGCGUGACCAACCUGCCUUGUGCACCGGAAUAGCUCCUGGAAACGGGUGGUAAUACCGGAUGUUCCGCUCCAUCGCAUGGUGGUGUGGGGAAUGCUUUUGCGGCAUGGGAUGGGGUCGCGUCCUAUCAGCUUGUUGGCGGGGUGAUGGCCCACCAAGGCUUUGACGGGUAGCCGGCCUGAGAGGGUGACCGGCCACAUUGGGACUGAGAUACGGCCCAGACUCCUACGGGAGGCAGCAGUGGGGAAUAUUGCACAAUGGGCGCAAGCCUGAUGCAGCGACGCCGCGUGCGGGAUGGAGGCCUUCGGGUUGUAAACCGCUUUUGAUUGUCAGCAAGGCGUCCUUUCGGGGAUGUUGAGUGUAGCUUUCGAAUAAGCACCGGCUAACUACGUGCCAGCAGCCGCGGUAAUACGUAGGGUGCAAGCGUUAUCCGGAAUUAUUGGGCGUAAAGGGCUCGUAGGCGGUUCGUCGCGUCCGGUGUGAAAGUCCAUCGCUUAACGGUGGAUCUGCGCCGGGUACGGGCGGGCUGGAGUGCGGUAGGGGAGACUGGAAUUCCCGGUGUAACGGUGGAAUGUGUAGAUAUCGGGAAGAACACCAAUGGCGAAGGCAGGUCUCUGGGCCGUUACUGACGCUGAGGAGCGAAAGCGUGGGGAGCGAACAGGGAUUAGGAUACCCUGGUAGUCCAG
rfam:Bifidobacterium gallicum DSM 20093 = LMG 11596 strain DSM 20093 B_gallicum-1.0.1_Cont2.1, whole genome shotgun sequence.